rnacentral:rRNA from 13 species
UUGGCUUAGAAGCAGCCAUCCUUUAAAGAAAGCGUAACAGCUCACUGGUCUAAUUAAGACGUCCUGCGCCGAAAAUGUAACGGGGCUAAAGUCAUACACCGAAGAUGCGGGCGCAAUUUAUUGCGCGGUAGCGGAGCGUUCUGUAAGCCUGCGAAGGGAGCACGCGAGUGUUUCUGGAGGUAUCAGAAGUGAGAAUGCUGACAUGAGUAACGACAAGGAGGGUGAGAAACCCUCCCGCCGAAAGUCCAAGGGUUCCUGCGCAAUGUUAAUCAGCGCAGGGUUAGUCGGCCCCUAAGGCGAGGGCGAAAGCCGUAGUCGAUGGGAAGCAGGUUAAUAUUCCUGCACUAGUGGGUAGUGACGAAUUGCGUAAGUUGUUCCUCCUUAUUGGAUUGGAGGGGCCGCGAAGCAGUUCCAGGAAAUAGCUCCCACAUUAUAACCGUACCCGAAACCGACACAGGUGGACUGGUAGAGUAUACCAAGGCGCUUGAGAGAACGAUGUUGAAGGAACUCGGCAAAUUGCCUCCGUAACUUCGGGAGAAGGAGGCCCACCAGGGAGGCAACUCUUUGGUGGGGGCACAGACCAGGGGGUAGCGACUGUUUAUUAAAAACACAGGGCUCUGCGAAGUUGCAAAACGACGUAUAGGGUCUGACGCCUGCCCGGUGCCGGAAGGUUAAGAGGAGAGGUGCAAGCUUUGAAUCGAAGCCCCGGUAAACGGCGGCCGUAACGAUAACGGUCCUAAGGUAGCGAAGUUCCUUGUCGGGUAAGUUCCGACCUGCAUGAAUGGUGUAAUGACUUCCCCACUGUCUCCAACAAAGACUCAGUGAAAUUGAACUACCCGUGAAGAUGCGGGUUAUUUGCAGCUAGACGGAAAGACCCCGUGCACUUUUACUAUAAGCAUAUAGUGUAAAGUUUUUAUUUUUGUGUAGAAUAGGUGGGAGCUAUUUGAAGUCGUUACGCAAGUAACUUACUUAAGCUUUUAUGAAAUACCACCCUUUUUUAAAAACUUUACUAACUUUAAAGGACAUUUUAUGCUGGGUAGUUUAGCUGGGGCGGCUGCCUCCUAAAAAGUAACGGAGGCGUGCAAAGGCAAACUCAAACAAUAUUUAUUGUUUUAGAGCGUAAUGGUAUAUGUUUGCUUGACUGUAAGAUUGAUAAAUCAAGCAGAGAUGAAAGUCGGCCAUAGUGAUCCGGUGGUUCUUCGUGGAAAGACCAUCGCUCAACAAAUAAAAAGUACGCCGGGGAUAACAGGCUGAUGCCUCUCUAGAGCUCUUAUCGACAGGGGCGUUUGGCACCUCGAUGUCGGCUCAUCUCAUCCUGGGGCUGGAGCAGGUCCCAAGGGUACGGC